GGAGGCCACUGCUAUGGGGGUCCGACUAAGCCAUGCGAGUCAUGGGGCGCCUUGCGCGCACCGGCGGACGGCUCAGUAACACGUCGGUAACCUACCCUCGGGAGGGGGAUAACCCCGGGAAACUGGGGCUAAUCCCCCAUAGGCCUGAGGUACUGGAAGGUCCUCAGGCCGAAAGGGGCUUUGCCCGCCCGAGGAUGGGCCGGCGGCCGAUUAGGUAGUUGGUGGGGUAACGGCCCACCAAGCCGAAGAUCGGUACGGGCCAUGAGAGUGGGAGCCCGGAGAUGGACACUGAGACACGGGUCCAGGCCCUACGGGGCGCAGCAGGCGCGAAACCUCCGCAAUGCGGGCAACCGCGACGGGGGGACCCCCAGUGCCGUGGCAUCGCCACGGCUUUUCCGGAGUGUAAAAAGCUCCGGGAAUAAGGGCUGGGCAAGGCCGGUGGCAGCCGCCGCGGUAAUACCGGCGGCCCGAGUGGUGGCCGCUAUUAUUGGGCCUAAAGCGUCCGUAGCCGGGCCUGUAAGUCCCUGGCGAAAUCCCACGGCUCAACCGUGGGGCUUGCUGGGGAUACUGCAGGCCUUGGGACCGGGAGAGGCCGGGGGUACCCCUGGGGUAGGGGUGAAAUCCUAUAAUCCCAGGGGGACCGCCAGUGGCGAAGGCGCCCGGCUGGAACGGGUCCGACGGUGAGGGACGAAGGCCAGGGGAGCGAACCGGAUUAGAUACCCGGGUAGUCCUGGCUGUAAAGGAUGCGGGCUAGGUGUCGGACGAGCUUCGAGCUCGUCCGGUGCCGAAGGGAAGCCGUUAAGCCCGCCGCCUGGGGAGUACGGCCGCAAGGCUGAAACUUAAAGGAAUUGGCGGGGGAGCACUACAAGGGGUGGAGCGUGCGGUUUAAUUGGAUUCAACGCCGGGAACCUCACCGGGGGCGACGGCAGGAUGAAGGCCAGGCUGAAGGUCUUGCCGGACACGCCGAGAGGAGGUGCAUGGCCGCCGUCAGCUCGUACCGUGAGGCGUCCACUUAAGUGUGGUAACGAGCGAGACCCGCGCCCCCAGUUGCCAGUCCUCCCCGUUGGGGAGGAGGCACUCUGGGGGGACCGCCGGCGAUAAGCCGGAGGAAGGAGCGGGCGACGGUAGGUCAGUAUGCCCCGAAACCCCCGGGCUACACGCGCGCUACAAUGGGCGGGACAAUGGGAUCCGACCCCGAAAGGGGAAGGGAAUCCCCUAAACCCGCCCCCAGUUCGGAUCGCGGGCUGCAACUCGCCCGCGUGAAGCUGGAAUCCCUAGUACCCGCGUGUCAUCAUCGCGCGGCGAAUACGUCCCUGCUCCUUGCACACACCGCCCGUCACUCCACCCGAGCGGGGUCUGGAUGAGGCCUGAUCUCCCUUCGGGGAGGUCGGGUCGAGUCUGGGCUCCGUGA
rnacentral:rRNA from 1 species